GCUUCGGUAGCUCAGUUGGUAGAGCAGAGCCCUGAAAAGGCUUGUGUCGGUGGUUCGAGUCCGCCCCGAAGCACCA
rnacentral:tRNA from 1 species